ACUUAAAUAGCUUAUUUAGAGCGUAACACUGAAGAUGUUAAGGAAACUUUUAGUUUUUAAGUA
rnacentral:tRNA from 1 species